rnacentral:tRNA from 1 species
GGGGUUUUAGCUCAGUGUUAGAGCACUUGCCUAUCAUGUGUGAGGCCCUGGGUUCGAUCCCCAGCACCA